AUAAAUAACUGUAGUAUGGUAGUAGAUGAGUUUGAUAGAUAUAU
rnacentral:guide_RNA from 1 species